UCCUACUAUUAUCUAGCUGUAUGACUCGUUCCUCUCUUCAUACAGCUAGAUAAUAGUAGGA
rnacentral:pre_miRNA from 1 species